AGAAAUUAGUUUAAAAAAAACAUUAACUUGUCAAGUUAAAGAUAUUCAUGAUAUUUCUUAA
rnacentral:tRNA from 1 species